AACGAACGCUGGCGGCAGGCUUAACACAUGCAAGUCGAGCGCCCCGCAAGGGGAGCGGCAGACGGGUGAGUAACGCGUGGGAAUCUACCCAUCUCUACGGAAUAACGCAUGGAAACGUGUGCUAAUACCGUAUACGUCCUUCAGGAGAAAGAUUUAUCGGAGAUGGAUGAGCCCGCGUUGGAUUAGCUAGUUGGUGGGGUAAAGGCCUACCAAGGCGACGAUCCAUAGCUGGUCUGAGAGGAUGAUCAGCCACACUGGGACUGAGACACGGCCCAGACCCCUACGGGAGGCAGCAGUGGGGAAUAUUGGACAAUGGGCGCAAGCCUGAUCCAGCCAUGCCGCGUGAGUGAUGAAGGCCCUAGGGUUGUAAAGCUCUUUCACCGGUGAAGAUAAUGACGGUAACCGGAGAAGAAGCCCCGGCUAACUUCGUGCCAGCCGCCGCAGUAAGAC
rnacentral:rRNA from 1 species